rnacentral:lncRNA from 1 species
AUUCUUUUAUAAAGACUUGUUGCCUCUCUUUCAAGCUCUAUUGUGAUUUCUGCAUGUGCAAGUUGUAUAUUUUACUUUACCACCAGAUACCUCUGGCAAAGCAGAUGAAGACUCCAGCCUGAGAACUCCUCCAGAUGAGGAGAACCCGAUCAUAUCGGUAAACUAAUAAAAUGACUGAGUGUAGUAUUUUUUUCAGAAUCUAGGCAGAUUCAAUGUAUUAUCCUGAAGUGGGAUCUUUACUUCUGGGAGAGCACCUGGCUGUUCUUACUUAAAAUAAGGAUUACUCCAUUUCUUCAGAUACAAAGACAUUACUUCAACAUGAAUUCUGGUCAACACCUUGCUCAACAUGAGGCUUGAAGCUGUAGGAACAGGAAUCAGAUUAAGCAGGUGUGAGAAUCAUCUUAGAGGCAAAUGCUGGGUGUUGUUGCAUUAAAGCCUAGUAAAGCACCUGACACUUGGCAGUUGAUGGAGUAUUGCCCGGUCCUGCCUCUCAAAUCCAGUCACCCUCCCAGAAAAAAAUUGUCUUUAAAGCAG